UCAUUUUCAUCUGCAGACUCCCACAGUUCUUGAAAGCCUGGAGUCUUCCUCAUCAACAGUGUGUGUGUUUAUAAAACCCACACCCAUCUCCUGGGCAAAAUGGCUCUCUCAAGCCUGAGCUGGUGGCACUGGCCUUGUGACUGGUGGAGGCUGAAGGCUGUCCCAGGGCCCCCCGGGGAUGUGAGGUUGGAUAAUGACAUCUCAUUGGGGAUUGGGGGAGAGGUGGGAGGUGCCACAGACCCUGGCAUCUUCAAACCUCCCAUCAGUGCAAAUCAAUGCAAAAUUAAAAUUCAUGAUGGUUCCGGGGCACAACUGCAAACAAUUUGUUCAGUAAACUUGGCUCUAAUUGGCAUUGGUAGAAUUUCCUGUUAAUCAGGCCCCUUGGGCUCUGUGGGUCUGGGAUGCUCUGUCUCCCCGUGACAGGACAGGCAGCAUGGAAGUGGGGCUGAGAGGAAGGGAGCAGGGAGGAUGUUCAGAUGUGGGCAGCUGCAGCCACGUGCCUGGGUGUGUGUUGCUGUGUAGACCCAAGGGCCAGGUUGGAGUGUCGUCUACAGGUACUUUUUUUUUUCUGGGGGGUGCGAUGGGGGGCUUCUGUGCCAUACUGUGUAGCUUCCCAUAGAGAUGGGAGUUGGGUGUGCCUGAGUCUACCUGGAGCUACUUAGGCAGUAAUAUGUGUGUCAAGGGUGUGCAAAAGUAGCAUAGUAAUACAUAUCAGCUGGGGCACGUGUGCAGGGGACAUGUGUAUGCAUCUGUCAGAGUACAUAUGUAAGGACUUGCAUGUUAUGUCCGUUGUCUAGGCAUGGUCUGUGGAGUGUUUGUGGAUCAGCAGAAUGGAGUCAGAAUUUCAACAUGGAGUCUCCUGGGCCCACAACCUUCUGCUUUCUCGUUGACUCUGAAGAUGGUAAGGCGACUGGUAAGCCAGUUGGUCCUCAGAGGGUCUCCUACCUGCUGUUUCUGACUGAUCAUUAAAGGAGGGCUGGACUCCCAGUGGCAACCGUGCUGUCUCCCAAUGCCUACCACGCUUUUCUCUAGGUCUCCAUCAUCUAUCAUCACCAAGGACUCAAGCCCCAGGCCAAAGGCUUUUGAGGGCUUUGCUGUUGAAAUGAUCCAUGGUCCCAGCUAUGACAAAAACCCACACGGAGAAAUCUCCAGCAACAAAUGCUUAAUGAAGUGCCAGCAAAGCAUCACAUUAUGCAAAGCUGCCCAACUCAUCCGGCGCCUGUUUCCUUUUCU
rnacentral:lncRNA from 1 species